rnacentral:lncRNA from 1 species
AAAGAUAGUAGACAUUCGAGCUCCCCUCCGGACUUCUCCUCCCUCUCCCUCUCGCCCUUCCUGGGAGCCUCUGCUCAGGCUUCUGGCCCCAGCAGCUCUGGAUCAGGCGAGGGCGUUCCCGGGGUGGGUAAGGGAUGCUCCUUAGAGCUAGCUGAAUUCAGCCUGAGUCCAGAAUGGAGGGUGUUCUGCCACCCCAUUUUGAACCGCCCGGGCUGGACCCCCUCUGUACAGCACACAGGAAAGUCAGAAUGCUCUGGACUGGACGCCCAGCCCGGCGCAGGCACCCUCUUCCACGCCCGCGGGCCGCAAGGGCUGCUGCCCUCUGCCACGCCCCUGGUGAAGGGAGUCGGCCCCAAGUCGCCCCGCACCCCAGCCCUGCAUGCAGGUGCCCUCGCUCCGCCCCUCUGCCCUGCCCCUGCCCUUGCCGCACACAGCCCUCCAGGGGCCGGCUGAGAGUGGAGCAGAAAGGGCCCCGGAGCUGAGCGAGGAGGACAAGGCAGCCUCCACCUGCGCUAGGUAGGCGUCCUGCUCUCGAGACUUUGAGUUCCUGUGGAGGGUGGGGGGUGUCAUCCUUUUAAAAGAGUGUUCUGGA